GUCCACACCCACGGCACAAAUCGUCUAUAAAAGAUCGUAUUAGUCCUUAAACUUUACUUUGAAGUUUAAUUUUGUUAUAUUAUAAAAUUACCAAACUAACUGUUUUGAUCCUCAAACUUUACUUUCAGGCUUGAUUUUAUCUGCGUAUGAGCUAUUAAAGUGGUUGUUUCAAUCAUAAAAAUUUUCUUUCUUGGCUCAACUUCGGCUUCCCUCCUCCUACGUCUAGGUGGCAUGCUACACUAUUGCACCUCUUCACAGAUAAAUAUUUUUCACAGUUACGACCAGAGCACGUCGAUGAUAUUGAACAACAUGAAUAUGUACAUUUUUUUUCCUUAGCUACUUUUAACGAUGCACUCAACUAACCAACCAUGUAAAAAUAAAAUUAUAAUUGAAGUCUAUGAUAUCCUAAUUAGGGUUCGGACGAUCUAAUUUGUAGUCAUAUUUGAGGAUAUUCAGUCUAUAUUCAUAUUUGUUUUAAAAUAUAUAUAGAUGUACAUGUGGAAAGUGUGAUGUUCGAUUCGAUGGCUAGAGGACGACACCAAGGACUCUUUUACAUAACAAUGAUCGUCUAUCUUCAAUUGAAAAUGGUAAUGGAGCUGAGAGGCACGACAACGUGAUAUUCCAAGUUGGUAGGGACAUAGUUGGGCCAAAAAGAAAACUUUCAGAACUGAAAUGGCC
rnacentral:lncRNA from 1 species